rnacentral:rRNA from 1 species
GACGAACGCUGGCGGCGUGCUUAACACAUGCAAGUCGAACGGAAAGGCCCCUUUGGGGGUACUCGAGUGGCGAACGGGUGAGUAACACGUGAGUAACCUGCCCUUGACUUCGGGCUAACUUCCGGAAACUGGGGCUAAUACCGGAUAGGAAUCCUUGCUGCAUGGUGGGGGUUGGAAAGCUUCGGCGGUUUUGGGUGGACUCGCGGCUUAUCAGCUUGUUGGUGGGGUAGUGGCUUACCAAGGCUUUGACGGGUAGCCGGCCUGAGAGGGCGACCGGCCACAUUGGGACUGGGAUAAGGCCCAGACUCCUACGGGAGGCAGCAGUGGGGAAUAUUGCACAAUGGGCGGAAGCCUGAUGCAGCAACGCCGCGUGCGGGAUGACGGCCUUCGGGUUGUAAACCGCUUUCAGCAGGGGCGAAGCUUGUGGUGACGGUACCUGCAGAAGAAGCACCGGCUAACUACGUG